rnacentral:tRNA from 1 species
GCCCGAGUGGUGAAAUGGCAUACACGAUAGAUUUAGGAUCUAUUGCUAGAAAUAGCGUGGAGGUUCAACUCCUCUCUCGGGCA